rnacentral:tRNA from 1 species
UCCCUGGAGGACUAGUGGUUAGGCCUUGGCGUUCUCACCUCUGCAGCCCGGGCUCGAUUCCCAGCCAGGGAA